GGGAGGUUGGAAGUUAAGUGGUGGUGUAGGAAAGGUGUGGAGGCUAAAUAAACUGAGAUAAAGGACGUGAUAGGCGUGUUUUUCUCGUCUUUUUCUCUCCCUCGAAACGCCGUCCCCAACAGCACCAAACAAAUGGUCACCAAGGUCAUCACAGUGGAGGAAACUGAUCGCUGGAAAGGCGGUCCAGUCUUCCAAGACAGUAGACGUGGAUGUGGAUGAGAUUGAGUCCUAACUUACCAACUCCAAAAGAAAUACAAAUAAACGAAUGAAAACUGACUUCUGUUUCAUUUGUUAUUUACAAAAACAGGGAGGGCAAAAACCCAUGUCCAUUUUGAAUGAGAAACGAUCACGUCUGGAGAAAUGACAUGCUUCUCAUCUUUUAGGGUAACAACAAUGAAUCCAUCUCUAACUGUACCCAGUCUUUUGUUAACAAAAACAUUACAUUUUAUUUUACCAGGUAUGGUUUCUACACAACCAAGUGGUUUAGUGAUACCAUGUAUGACAGUCUAGCUACAGUGUGUACUGUAAAUAUAAUAGCUGUGCUGAAAGUCUUGGGCAUUGGUAGGUAUAGUGGCUACCAGUAAAGUAGUUAAAUAAUAAUCAAGACUUGCUUGAUACAAUAGUCAGCUCCAUUCCGAGUUUAUUCUUGCACUGAGUGAAGGAUCACAGCAAUGGGGGGAUGCCAAUUCUCUGCUAAGUGGCAGCCUUGCACAACUUAUAGAUUAAGACAGACAACUGAUUUGUGAUAUCACAAGGAGUUUGAAUUUGGUUACAAAUACAUUGAUUCACUACCAACUGAUUCCCAUCAAUCUCCAUAAAGACUGCAUUCCUUUGACUUGUGAAAUGAGGUAAGGUCAGAGGUCGCAUAACCUCAAAUCCCGAAGGUAAACAGAUCAGAUAAGACCCUUUCCUUAUCCUACAUGUUACUUGGAAUUCAGGGAAGGGCUAACAAUUCUCCUACCCCAACAACUUAACCACUUAUCAAAUUAGGUCUUCCUUUCUUGUACUCAUUAAUGACAAAUCCAAUCUCUGCUGGCAGUAAUCUUCCACAUCUGUGCCUCAUAGAUCGCAGUCAUCAUGACCCGUCACUGACGCAUGCACUUUCAAAAUACUAUUCUCUUGGCCUCAUGUUCAAACGACAAACUCCAAAUUGGCAGUCAGAUGUAUAGGGAGGGAGCCAAAUCAGACACAGAACACAAAGAUGGCAUUGUCAGCACAUUGAGAGUAUCUUUAUUGCUUUCAAAUGAAGAACAGUUGACAGUGUUCUACCCAGAUGUUCUUAGAAGGGAGUUAACUCUUGGUGUGCUGCUUGCUGUUUCAGCCCAUUAGGAGCUUGUGGAAGAAGAGGACACCACCUUGCCGUCCACAACCUCUUCUGUGACCACCACCAC